AAGUCGUAACAAGGUUUUCGUAGGUGAACCUGCGGAAGGAUCAUUAGUGAAGUCUUUAAGAACGCUCGCAAGAGGUUCGACUACACUUUAUCAUAACACUGUGAACUUGAAAUUCGUAACUUGUCUUUCGGGACUCGUUCGAAACCCUUAGUCUUAUUAAACCAGUCUUGAAUGUAAACCUUUGAUUAAACGAAAGUAACAACUUUCAGCAACGGAUUUCUUGGCUCUC
rnacentral:misc_RNA from 1 species